rnacentral:rRNA from 1 species
CUAGCGUCUUUGCGCGGAGAAUUUAACGGGGCUAAACCUGACACCGAAGCUUAGGCAAUACAGUAAUGUAUUGGGUAGGGGAGCGUUGUAUACGCGGUGAAACAGUAGCGCAAGCGGCUGUGGAGUGUAUAGAAGUGAGAAUGCCGGAAUGAGUAGCGCGAAUGCAGUGAGAAUCUGCAUGGCCGAAAGCCUCAGGUUUCUGGAGGAAGGUUCGUCCGCUCCAGGUUAGUCGGGAGCUAAGGUGAGGCCUAACGGCGUAGCCGAUGCACAGACGGUAGAGAUUCCGUCACCACCAAAAGAGUUAAACACAGGGACACAUUUGAAGUCUCGGAGCCGGGUGUUGGUUCCGGUAGCGAUCGAGGGAAAUUAGUACCGAAGUCCGGGAUGGAAGAUGGCGAGAAAAGCUGUGUGUAUUUCUGCGGUGCCCGUACCGCAAACCGACACAGGUAGGUAGGAAGAAGAUUCUAAGGCCAACGGGAGAAGGGUUGUUAAGGAACUCGGCAAAUUGACCCCGUAACUUCGGGAGAAGGGGUGCUCCAGAGAUGGAGCCGCAGAGAAUCGGCCCAAGCAACUGUUUACCAAAAACACAGGUUUGUGCUAAAUCGAAAGAUGACGUAUACGAGCUGACGCCUGCCCGGUGCUGGAAGGUUAAGAGGAGAUGUGCAUGCAUUGAAUCGAAGCCCCAGUGAACGGCGGCCGUAACAAUAACGGUCCUAAGGUAGCGAAAUUCCUUGUCAGGUAAGUUCUGACCCGCAUGAAAGGCGUAAUGAUUUGGGCACUGUCUCGACAGCCCGCCCGGCGAAAUUGUAGUACCGGUGAAGAUGCCGGUUACCCGCGACAAGACGGAAAGACCCCAUGGAGCUUUACUGUAGCCUAAUAUUGGGUUUCGAUGUUGCAUGCACAGGAUAGAUGGGACACAGGGAAACAAGUGCUUUGGCAUUUGUGGAGUGGCCGUUGGGAUACCAUCCUUGCGAUAUUGGAAUUCUAACCUGCGCCUUUGAAUCAAGGCGGGGGACAUUGUUAGGUGGGCAGUUUGACUGGGGCGGUCGCCUCCUAAAGAGUAACGGAGGCGUUCAAAGGUUCGCUCAGCUUGAACGGAAAUCAAGCAAAAGAGUGCAAACGCAGAAGCGAGCCUAACUGCGAGACUGACGAGUCGAGCAGUAACGAAAGUUGGAGUUAGUGAUCCGGUGGUAUGUGAGUGGAAAUGCCAUCGCUCAACGGAUAAAAGUUACCCUGGGGAUAACAGGCUGAUCUCCCCCAAGAGUCCACAUCGACGGGGAGGUUUGGCACCUCGAUGUCGGCUCAUCGCAUCCUGGGGCUGUAUUCGGUCCCAAGGGUUUGGCUGUUCGCCAAUUAAAGCGGUACGCGAGCUGGGUUCAGAACGUCGUGAGACAGUUCGGUCCCUAUCUGUCGUGGGCGCAGGAUAUUUGAUGGGAGCUGUUCCUAGUACGAGAGGACCGGAGCGGACGUACCUCUGGCGCACCAGUUGUUCUGCCAAGGGCAUAGCUGGGCAACUAUGUACGGAUCGGAUAAACGCUGAAAGCAUCUAAGCGUGAAGCCGACCCAAAGAUAAGAUAUCCCAUUGUUUUAAACAAGUAAGACCCCUUGAAGACUACAAGGUUGAUAGGCACGAUGUGUAAGUGGAGUGAUCCAUUCAGCAAGCGUGUACUAAUAGGUCGAGGGCUUGAGCAA